CACUUUAACACUGAGGCGUGACGACGAGGCACUACGGUGCUGAAGCAACAAAUGCCCUGCUUCCAGGAAAAGCCUCUAAGCAUCAGGUAACACGAAAUCGUACCCCAAACCGACACAGGUGGUCAGGUAGAGAAUACCAAGGCGCUUGAGAGAACUCGGGUGAAGGAACUAGGCAAAAUGGUGCCGUAACUUCGGGAGAAGGCACGCUGACACGUAGGUGAAGUGAUUUACUCAUGGAGCUGAAGUCAGUCGAAGAUACCAGCUGGCUGCAACUGUUUAUUAAAAACACAGCACUGUGCAAACACGAAAGUGGACGUAUACGGUGUGACGCCUGCCCGGUGCCGGAAGGUUAAUUGAUGGGGUCAGCGUAAGCGAAGCUCCUGAUCGAAG
rnacentral:rRNA from 1 species